ensembl:lncRNA
ACAGCCGAUUAAAUAGAUACUGAUACACAGAGCUCUUUGUCUGCGGAAAGGAUAUACAAGUCAAAACACUUUUCCUGCAGCUCUCGCUCUGCUUCUCAUCUGGCCCAGCCUCCUGUGAAGUCAUAGCUGUGUGAUAUGGCAGCCGUUACCAAGAUGGAAAUGAUUAGGACGUCACGGGAGCUGGCACAGGAUGGCCCAUGUUCCGGACAGGACCAGGAUCCAGGGUCCCAGCCACAGCUCUGCCGUCCGCCCAGCCCUGCUUGGUGGCUGGGGAAGGCCGGUCCGCCUUCCCCGGGUCGAUCCUCGCGGUCUGCUGGUCGUGGCCUCAGAAGCUUGGAUGCCUGCGCCUGGACCAGCUGUUGCCUGUUGUCCCUGGGGAUGCUAGGCUCCCCCGGGUAACGGGAUGAGGCAAGCCUUUCUGGGACACCUUUCAAGUUGGGAAACUGGAGCACAGGCUCUGAGAGAAGGCAGCUGCAGGAAGUCUGGCAGAGGCACCCGUCCCCUCUGCUGAGAACAGGAAUGAGCCUGGCCAUGGGCUUGGACAAGCUGGAGGGGGAGGACAUCCCGAAGCACUGAGGAGGGUGUUUCUGUAUUGAAGAGUAACCUCAGGGCUGGGGGGAGGGGAACGGCUCAGAGGGAGAGGACAGUGGUCACCAGACUUUUCCAUAAUCAAACUGUUUAGGAGACAGUUUAGCCUGAAUCAAUCUAAACUUUGGGAUAAUGCUCUUUAGAAGAAAACAGAAGAUGAGGUUUUCACAGUGAGGGAACGAGCAGUGUGAGACUUCGCUGCUCUUGCUGCCCCAACCCAAUCCGUCCUCACAUAGUUGUCACCAUUCUCCUGGGAGACAGAAACCACAUCAGUCUCCUCUUCUGGCUCGGGGAGUUCUUGUCUGUAGCCCCACUUGUGGGCGUGAGAAACUGGAGUCCACCUACUGCCUGUGCCCAGCUGCUGGGGCUGGUGUCUGGCCAACUGGUAGACCUGGUAGGUCUGCUGCCCUGUCACACCCCCAGCUUCAGGGACUCUCACAGGAACAUCCAGUUGUCACCUGCCCCCUUCAGUGGAGGAGAGGGGUCUGGACCACUGUGGACACGCGUUUGCUUCCCGGGUUUGGACAGAUGAGAAUGCACAACCUAAAUGUGCGAUUUGUGUUUCAUCCAGGGACUCUACAGAGGACCGUAGUCCAGAG